rnacentral:lncRNA from 1 species
GCCGAUUACUGGAGUGACUAAUAUCUCGAAGAAUGAAGCUGACAAUAAUAGGCCACAACUGAAGUUUUCUAUAACUCAAGAAACAAAACCACAAAAUGGUGGGGAUCAACUCAAGCUAUAUAGGUAUUCAUGCGUGACAAUCGCUUACCCAGUUUUUUUUCGAGACAGCCGGGUCAAGUGACAACCACGUUUUCAUAUUUACACACAUAACACGCAGAACCACGGCUGCUGUAGGACAGCCGAGUGCACGUGCCUUUGUUGGAGCGAGCACAGGUGCCUUUGUAGACAAUACAUAAUAGAA